AGUAGAAAAGAAAAAAAAAGAAAAGAAGGAAAAAUAAUUUUUUCCCCUCCCCGCCACGCGCCCCCCGCCGCCCCCCGUUUUCGUUUCGUCACGCACCCAGUUUUCUUCGGUGCAGCGUGAAGCCCUAGCCGACCAGCUUGCGUUCCAGCCACCGUCGUCGACUGCACGCCGCUGAGGCUCUCAGCCGUGGCCAGCCAUCCCCGUCCGAACAGCCGCCGUCAGCCGUUAACGAGCCCGUCCGACGCCGUCGCGUCAGUUCUUUUUCACGUCCUCCGUCCGGCCACUACUUAUUCACUUUUUCCAUCACUAGAUCUAUCGAUUUGGGUACGUCAAUUAUUUUGAAAGGAAAAGUUAUUACUUCUUGAUUAUUGUUAUUUUGAAACUUAAUUUCUUCUAAAGGGGGACAUGUAGAAGUUAUGUAUCUUUUAGGAUUUGUAGUCUCCCAUGUGGGAGAAGAGGUAUUUGUUUUAAUAGUUUGAUAUGAAGGAGAUGUAAUGUUUUGAUAAUAUGUCCUAUAUUUCAUCCAAUUGAAGAAAUAUAUUUAUUUUGAGUUUUUCUA